AGUAAUGCUUGGGGAUCUGCCCAGUCGAGGGGGAUAACAGUUGGAAACGACUGCUAAUACCGCAUACGCCCUACGGGGGAAAGCAGGGGACUUUUUAAGCCUUGCGCGAUUGGAUGAACCCAAGUGGGAUUAGCUAGUAGGUAAGGUAAAGGCUUACCUAGGCGACGAUCCCUAGCUGGUCUGAGAGGAUGAUCAGCCACACUGGAAACUGAGACACGGUCCAGACUCCUACGGGAGGCAGCAGUGGGGAAUAUUGCACAAUGGGGGAAACCCUGAUGCAGCCAUGCCGCGUGUGUGAAGAAGGCCUUCGGGUUGUAAAGCACUUUCAGCGAGGAGGAAAGGGUGAUGGUUAAUACCCAUCAUCUGUGACGUUACUCGCAGAAGAAGCACCGGCUAACUUCGUGCCAGCGGCCGCGGUAAUACGAGGGGUGCAAGCGUUAAUCGGAAUUACUGGGCGUA
rnacentral:rRNA from 1 species